UACAGAGGUGGCAAGCGUUGUUCGGAAUUACUGGGCGUAAAGGGCGCGUAGGCGGCCAGCACAAGUCAGUUGUGAAAUCUCCGAGCUUAACUCGGAAAGGUCAACUGAUACUGUGCGGCUAGAGUGCGGAAGGGGCAACUGGAAUUCUUGGUGUAGCGGUGAAAUGCGCAGAUAUCAGGAGGAACACCGAUGGCGAAGGCAGGUCUCUG
rnacentral:rRNA from 1 species